GGUCUUAUGGCGCAACUGGUUAGCGCGUCCGGCUGUUAACCGGGAGGUUGUAAGUUCGAGCCUUACUAGGACCG
rfam:Arthrobotrys oligospora ATCC 24927 unplaced genomic scaffold scaffold00079, whole genome shotgun sequence.